rnacentral:rRNA from 1 species
AUACGUAUGUCCCGAGCGUUAUCCGGAUUUAUUGGGCGUAAAGCGAGCGCAGACGGUUCGUUAAGUCUGAAGUGAAAGCCCACAGCUCAACUGUGGAAUGGCUUUGGAAACUGGCGAACUUGAGUGCAGUAGAGGCAAGUGGAACUCCAUGUGUAGCGGUGGAAUGCGUAGAUAUAUGGAAGAACACCAGUGGCGAAGGCGGCUUGCUGGACUGUAACUGACGUUGAGGCUCGAAAGUGUGGGUAGCAAACAGGAUUAGAUACCCUGGUAGUCCACACCGUAAACGAUGAGUGCUAGGUGUUAGGAGGUUUCCGCCUCUUAGUGCCGGAGCUAACGCAUUAAGCACUCCGCCUGGGGAGUACGACCGCAAGGUUGAA